AUGACCUCCACCAUGGCCUGGGCCCCUCUCCUCCUCACCCUCCUGGCUCACUGCACAGGAUCCUGGGCCCAGUCUGUGCUGACUCAGCCAUCCUCAGUGUCGGGGUCCCCGGGCCAGAGGGUCACCAUCUCCUGCACUGGAAGCAGCACCAACGUUGGGUAUGGUGACUAUGUGUCCUGGUUCCAGCAGCUCCCAGGAAAGGCCCCCAAACUCCUCAUCUAUGAGAGCAGCAAACGACCCACAGGGAUUCCGGACCGAUUCUCUGGCUCCAGGUCUGGCAGCUCAGCCUCCCUGACCAUCACGGGGCUGCAGGCUGAGGACGAGGCUGUCUAUCACUGCUCAUCACCAGACAGCAGUAGUGGUGGUACUCACAGUGCUCCAGGCCUGUGGGGAAGUGAGACAAAAACCCCUCAGGUCUGCGAGGGGAUAAAUGCCAACGUCUGA